rnacentral:rRNA from 1 species
UGAGUAACCUGCCCUUGACACUGGAAUAACAGUUGGAAACAGCUGCUAAUACCGGAUAUGACCUCUGACGACAUCGUCUGGAGGUGGAAAGCUCCGGCGGUCAAGGAUGGGCUCGCGGCCUAUCAGCUUGUUGGUGAGGUAACGGCUCACCAAGGCUUCGACGGGUAGCCGGCCUGAGAGGGUGACCGGCCACACUGGGACUGAGACACGGCCCAGACUCCUACGGGAGCAG